UACGGAGGGUGCAAGCGUUAUCCGGAUUCACUGGGUUUAAAGGGUGCGUAGGUGGGUUGGUAAGUCAGUGGUGAAAUCUCCGUGCUUAACAUGGAAACUGCCAUUGAUACUACUGAUCUUGAAUUUUCAGGAGGUAAGCGGAAUAUGUCAUGUAGCGGUGAAAUGCUUAGAUAUGACAUAGAACACCAAUUGCGAAAGGCA
rnacentral:rRNA from 1 species